UUCCUUGUUUCUGAAGAAGAGCCCGUAGCGGUCGUUUCAGCUGUCUUAACUUCUUUACCAAUCGAAACAUAGGAACUCCUUCUAUCAUAGUAGACCAUCUAUUCUGAACCACUUCAAUGAAAUCAGAUUUAUAAACCAGAAAAUUGGGAAAUUUAAAUGGUUUGGGUUUAUUCGCAUUUAUGGAUGACAUUUUAAGACCAUGCCACAUUUUUUUCUGUAUAAAAGUGUUUUUAUUAGGUUGGGCCAUUGAAAUCUUUUUGCUAGCAAUACAAGCGUUGUGCUACUGAAUGCUACAUCCUAGAUGGCGAAAGUCCAGUAUCCGAAAACAUCACUAGCUUACGCUCUGACCCGAAGAGCAUGAGGAACGUGGAAUCCCGUGUGAAUCAGCAAUUACCACCUUGCAAGGCUAAAUACUCCUGGGUGACUGAUAGCGAAGUAGUACCGUGAGGGAAGGGUGAAAAGAACCACCAUCAGGGAGUGAAAUAAAACAUGAAA
rnacentral:lncRNA from 1 species